CAGUCGGGCGUAAUCCUAGCCGCGCCGACUCCCUUUCCCCCGUCAUUUCCGGAUCGGGCGACAGGGUCGGCGCCGCCCCGGUGACCCGCGCGCCCGGCCGAAGUUCAUGGCGGCGCGCGUCGCGCUGCCCCGGCGACCCGUGCGCCCCAGCCCCUCUCCACCCCCGGUCCUUUCUUUUCCACCCGAGAUGGCGCCGCCUACGGCGACGAAAUCCGGCGGCGUUCGGUGACGCGGCGGUGGCGCUCGCCGGAGCAGCGCGCACUAGACACUGUCCCGCGCGCUCCUCCAUCGAGCGUGGCCUCCGGAGGCGGCUUUUAUUCCGGGCGGCGACGAGGAUGCGACGAGACCGGCCGGCCAGGGGAUCUUUCCCACGCGCCAGACCGACGUGGUGGUGGCGGCGGUGCCCUCGCAUGCUGGAGUUGCCGUGCGGCUUCUCCCCGAGGGGAGGAUAGGCGUCGCCGCAGCCCCAUUCAUGGCGGCCGGCGGCUGCGACAUUUGCGUUCGACGGCGACGAACGGGCCCGAGGCCACGAACAUCGUCGGCCAUUAGGGAACUUGAGAAACCAUGGUGAGCACGCAAAGUUAUGCACGUCUCAGCACAGGAGAACCCCAAUGACGGCCACCGCCAUAGACGUACUGUUCAAGCUGCGCCGCCGGCCCGCCGGGGUGAGGAGACGAAGUAGCGCAAGAGGAUCAUCCUCGGAGCACGGUGAGGAGGUGUUGAUAGGAGCGCGAGGAUCAUCGGGCAGCUGAGUGCCUGGCGGCGGUGACCUGUGCGCCUCACGCAGAUGGAUAGAAAAAAAAGCAAAUUACACAUAUGGCCUAUUUUUUUUACGUGGCAUUGGUGGGUAAUUUUAUCGAAUCACACGCCAAUUCUGUUUGGUGAAGAUCUAUUGGUUGUGAUUUUAUAGGACGUGGAAUCGAUGGUCAGAUAUUUUGCGUUUUUAUGGGAUUUUCUAACGGCUCUAUCUUUUUUAUGGUUGAUCGUCAUGUAUUUUUUUUAGUAUAUAAUAAUAGAUAGAUUUUGGUUGUCAA